GUUCAUUUUCUUUAUUGUCUAAGAAAUAAUUUGUUCAAGCAAGGGGCAGGCAGUACGUAAGGGUUUCUUUAACUUUUUGCAAUUUUGGGUAUGCAUUCAAGUUGAAUGCUCAAAAAUUAGUUUACAGUGCCCAUCUAAAUCAUAAAAUGCUAAAUUUACCAAAACAAAGAUAGAAAUCUGAUUCACUUCACAAAGCAUUUUAUAGAAAUUACACAGGUUUCAGCAAGUUAUAUAGCCCAAAAACUUCUCUGAUAAGAAGCCUGCUUCAUUGCACCUUAACUUAACAGUGAAAUUGGGAUAGUUUUCUCUUCUCUUGAUUUUGUGCGCUCGAUAUACUCUGAAGCUGCUUUUGCAGCUGUGAUCUUAUUUGGCAAUUAGAAGCCAAAGUUUUGUCCAAAUUCUUCUUUGCAGCAACAAGCUCUGACUUUCUCAUCUCUGCUGGAGCUAUCUCAGAAUUAUUCAAAUAUCCAUUGUUGUCUUGGAGUUUUACAAAGGCUGAAUUCAACUCAUUCACUUGAUUCCUCAACUCAUUCACUUGCAUCUGAGAUUUCAGAACAAAUUUCUCCAGAGUUUCCCUAAACUCCUUCAUUUCAUUACUUUUUAGCUCAUAAAACCUCUCUUUCUCCUUCUCCUCCUCUUCCAGUUCCUCCACUUCACUCUUCAAAACCCUCAAUUGAUGUAAAUCGGCCUGGUAUUUGGCAUCGAGGCUCUCGAUUUCAGAUUUUAGAGCCAAGAUUUUGAAGUUUUGAGACGCAAUGUUUCGAUCGAGCACCAAGCAACGUUGCUCCACGGACCGAAUAUCAGCUAGCUUUGACGCUAAGAUCUUCGAUCUGUUUGCUUCCAAUUCUCUCUCUACCUGGAGGAGAGAGAGGCGUUGGUUUCUGGUACGCUCCAUGAGCUCUAGCCUCUCUCGAAACGCAGAGGAAAGCGCCAUUGAUGAUUUAGAGAGAUGAAUUUCCGCCCCAAAUCGAG
rnacentral:misc_RNA from 1 species